rnacentral:rRNA from 1 species
GCUAAACAGCUAGCUUAAUUACCAAAAUAACCAAAACAACAUUAAAACACUUUACUAAACCCACAAACUACCAAACUAAAACAUUCUACCGCCCCAGUACGUGAGACAGAAAAGGCACUACCUAAAGCCAUAGAAAAAGUACCGCAAGGGAACGCUGAAAGAGAAAUGAAAUAACUCAUUUAAGCAUAAUAAAGCAGAGACUAAUCCUCGUACCUUUUGCAUCAUGAUUUAGCCAGCCCCCCCUGAGCAAAGCGCGCUUUAGUUCAAAGCCCCGAAACUAAGUGAGCUACCCCGAGACAGCCUAUUAAUUAGGGCCAACCCGUCUCUGUGGCAAAAGAGUGGGAAGAGCUCCGGGUAGAGGUGACAGACCUACCGAACUUAGUUAUAGCUGGUUGCCUAAAAAAUGAAUAGAAGUUCAGCCUCGCACUCCUCAACUCAUAAACAUUUCUUAAAAUACGAGCCAGAGAAAUAUGCGACAGUUAGUCGGAGGGGGUACAGCCCCUCCGAAACAGGAUACAACCUCAUCAGGUGGUUAAAGAUUAUACUAGAUAAGAUACACCGCUCUAGUGGGCCUAAAAGCAGCCACCCAGACAGAAAGCGUUAAAGCUCUGGCGGAUCAAAAAUCUAUUAUCCAAAUACUACAUCUAAAACCCCUAAUCAUAUUAGGCCAUUCCAUGCCUGCAUGGAAGAGAUACUGCUAAAAUGAGUAAUAAGAAGGAAACCCCUUCUCCCAAGCCUACGUGUAUGCUAGACCGGACCCCCCACUAGCAAUUACCGAGCCCAAUCAAAGAGGGCAAUGUGAUUAUAUUAAAAAACAAGAAAUUCUCACAUAACUCAAUCGUUAACCCCACACCGGAAGGCCAAAUUAAGGAAAGACUAAAAGAAAAGGAAGGAACUCGGCAAACAUAAGCCUCGCCUGUUUACCAAAAACAUCGCCUCCUGCAAAAACCAAUGUAUAGGAGGUCUUGCCUGCCCAGUGACAAGUUAAACGGCCGCGGUAUUUUGACCGUGCGAAGGUAGCGCAAUCACUUGUCUUUUAAAUGAAGACCUGUAUGAAUGGUGGAACGAGGGCUUAACUGUCUCCCCUUUCAAGUCAAUGAAAUUGAUCUGCCCGUGCAGAAGCGGACAUACAAAUACAAGACGAGAAGACCCUUUGGAGCUUAAGAUACAAGAUCAACUAUGUCAAGAACCCCAAAAUUAAGUUAAACUAAAUAGCCAAUUGAUCCCUAUCUUCGGUUGGGGCGACCGCGGGAGAAAAUAAAGCUCCCAUGCGGACUGGGGUUAAACCCUAAAACCAAGAGAGACAUCUCUAAGUCACAGAACAUCUGACCACAAAGAUCCGGCCUGACCCGCCGAUCAACGGACCAAGUUACCCUAGGGAUAACAGCGCAAUCCCCUUUCAGAGUCCAUAUCGACAAGGGGGUUUACGACCUCGAUGUUGGAUCAGGACAUCCUAAUGGUGCAGCCGCUAUUAAGGGUUCGUUUGUUCAACGAUUAAAGUCCUACGUGAUCUGAGUUCAGACCGGAGCAAUCCAGGUCAGUUUCUAUCUGUAAUGCCACUCUUCCCAGUACGAAAGGACCGGAAAAAGGGGGCCCAUGUUAUAAAUACGCCCCACCCUAAUUUAAUGACAUCAACUAAAUUAAACAAAAGGAGGGCAUAACCCCACAUCAAGAUAAGAUU